UUGUUGCUUCGUAGAAGCAAAUGUCAGUACUAUAGCGGAUAUAUAAAGUAUGGAUAAAUUAUCUAGUCACCACUCUUACAAUACACGGAACGUAGAAGUUUUAACUCUUCCUAAACACAAAACAGCAAGAUAUGAACGUUCACCCACUUAUCAGGGCAUAAAAAUCUAUAAUAAAUUACCAGCUUGUUUCAAAUCCUUAAGUUUAAUCCGUUUCAAGAAA